GACGAACGCUGGCGGCGUGCUUAACACAUGCAAGUCGAACGGUGAAGCGCCUUCCUUUUUGGUGGGUGUGGAUGAGUGGCGAACGGGUGAGUAACACGUGAGUAACCUGCCCCCUUCUUCUGGAUAACCGCAUGAAAGUGUGGCUAAUACGGGAUAUUCUGGGUCUGUCGCAUGAUGGGUCUGGGAAAGAUAUUGUUUCGGUGGGGGAUGGGCUCGCGGCCUAUCAGCUUGUUGGUGGGGUGAUGGCCUACCAAGGCGGUGACGGGUAGCCGGCCUGAGAGGGUGGACGGUCACACUGGGAAUGAGACACGGCCCAGACUCCUACGGGAGGCAGCAGUGGGGAAUAUUGAACAAUGGGCGCAAGCCUGAUGCAGCGACGCCGCGUGAGGGAUGGAGGCCUUCGGGUUGUGAACCUCUUUCGCCAGUGAAGCAGGCCUGCCUCGUUUGUGGGUGGGUUGACGGUAGCUGGAUAAGAAGCGCCGGCUAACUACGUG
rnacentral:rRNA from 1 species